rnacentral:misc_RNA from 1 species
UCCGGUUUGGCACCGGCAGUCCUCCCAGAGUCCUCGGCUCUACCCGGUAGCAACUGGGAGCGGGGGUUGCGCUCGUUGCGGGACUUAACCCAACAUCUCACGACACGAGCUGACGACAGCCAUGCAGCACCUGUCUUGGAGCUCCGAAGAGCGCUCCUCGUUUCUGAGGAGCUUCCCCAAGAUGUCAAGCCCAGGUAAGGUUCUUCGCGUUGCGUCGAAUUAAACCACAUGCUCCACCGCUUGUGCGGGCCCCCGUCAAUUCCUUUGAGUUUCAGCCUUGCGGCCGUACUCCCCAGGCGGGGCACUUAAUGCGUUAGCGCCGGCACCCAGGGGGUCGCUCCCCCAGGCACCUAGUGCCCAUCGUUUACGGCGUGGACUAC